CAGCUUCAUGAGGUGCCCUGAGCUGCUGUCUGUGCAGAGAGCGGAACAAGGUCUCCUCCAGGAGCCUUGGAGCUCUCCCAUGCGUCAUUCCCUGGGCUGAUGGACUGUGGUGGCUGCCACCUGCCUGGAUGCAAUCGAGGCAGAAGGAGCUGAGGAGCGCUGGUGCCUUGGCUCUGUUCCCAGCACAGAUGGGGAAACUGAGGCAUGGGGUCACACCCCGCUAGGACAUGAGGAGGGUGAAGUCAGCCCAAUUCUCUUGGCUUGGCCAGCCUCGGUCAUGAGUCAUCAUCCGGGCUUGUUGUGGCAGCAGUGCCCAGGUCUCGAGGCUGGCUUAGCCAGGAGGAUUUUAAGCCAGUUGGAGAGGUGUGAACACCUUGCCAUCGAGUGUGAGCUGAGAUCCGGACUCUGGGAGCCAAGGGAUUCAUAAAACCAUCACAUAGUGCAG